rnacentral:rRNA from 1 species
CCCUAGGUUAGGUGGCAUUACUCAUUGAGUUUAAGCAUAUCAAUAAGUGGAGGAAAAGAAUCUUACUAGGAUUCCCUAGUAACAAUGAGUGAACCAGAAAGAGCCCAACUUAAGAAUCUAGCACCCCCAGCAUCCAAAUUGUAGUAUGGACAAGCAUAUUUAAUGACAGAUUGAGCGUAAGUCCCUUGGAAAGGGGCACCAAAGAGGGUGAUAGCCUUAUUGUGCAUAGACCCUAUCGCACCACGAGGCAUUGUCUACGAGUCAAGUUGUUUGGGAAUGUAGCCCCAAUCAGGUAAUAAAUUUUGUCUAAGGCUAAAUAUGGGUGAGAGACCAAUAGCAAACAAGUACCUUGAGGGAAAAAUGAAUAGGACUUUGAAAAAAAAGUCAAAGAGUGUUUGAAAUUGUCAUAAAGAAAAGUGAGUGGGGGUUGGUGAUGCACCUCAAUCGAAUGUGAAAUGGCAAGAGUUGAUCUAUCAAUCUACUCGAGGCAUGAACCAAUGUGGGUUGCAAUGGUGGCCAAGCCUGGGCUUUCGAUAUGCUAGCGAAGACAUCAUUACUGUAACCAUAGAAUGUAGCACAUGUCAAUCUACUCGAGGCAUGAACCAAUGUGGGUCGCAAUGGUGGCCAAGCCUGGGCUUUCGAUAUGCUAGCGAAGACAUCAUUACUGUAAUCAUGGAAUGUAGCACAUGUCAUCUCAGCUUGCCUUAACAUCGGCAUGCUCCUGGUAUAGGCCUACGGGCUCCCUAUCUAGCCUGUCUUGAAACACAGACCAAAGAGUUUGACAUGUGUGGGAGUCAAUGGGCUAGAAAGCCCAGAAUGUGUAAGGAAGCUGAUCGGUGGGAUCCCUCAUGGGUGCACCACAAAUCGACCUUGAUCUUCUAAGAAGGGUUCGAGUGUGAGCAUGGCUGUUGGGACACAAAAGAUGGUGAACUAUGCUUAAACGAGGCAAGGCCAAAGGAAACUCUGGUGGAGGCCUACAACGAUACUGAUGUGCAAAUUGUUCAUUUAACUUAGGUAUAGGGGUAAAAGACUAAUCAAACUAUCUAGUAGCUAGUUCCCUUUAAAGUUUCCCUCAGGAUAGCUAAAGCCCUUAGCCAAUUAUAUCGGGUAAAGACAAUGAUUAAAGGCAUUAGGGGUGCAACAGCUUUGACCUAUUCUUGAAGUUUAAAUAGGUAGGAUGGUGCGAUUGCUUCAUUUUGCCACACCAGGGAAUCAAGAGCUCCAAGUGGGCUAUUUUUGGCAAGCAGAACUAGCAAUGUGGGAUGAAUUGAAAGCCAGGCUAUGUUGCCUAACUGUGUACUACCCUAGAAUCCAUAAAAGGGUGUUGGUCGAUUAAAAUAGCAGGACAAUGGUCAUGGAAGUUUGAAUCUACUAAGGAGUGUGUAAUAACUCACCUACCAUAUCAACUUACCUUAAAAAUAGAUGAUGCUUAAAUGCGUAACCUAUACUUGGCCAUUAGGGUAAGGGCUAAGCCUCGAUGAGUAAGAGGGUAUGGUGGUCAUCGCAAAACUUGGGGCACAAGCCCUAGGGGAGCAACCAUCGGUGUAGAUUUUGAUAGUAGUAGCAAAUAUUCAAAUGAGAACUUUAAAGGUCAAAAAGGGGAAAGGUUCAAUGUGAACGGCACUUGCACAUAGGUUAGUCGAUCCUAAGAGAUGCGGAAGCCUAUCCUAGUACGUCUGGAGUAAGCUUUGACAAGGAAUAGGGUUAAAAUUCUUGAACUAAGAUAAGGUAGCUGACAACAACAUUUGGGAGUUUGGAUUCAUUGGUAGGGGCCUUAGGAAGAGUUGUCUUUUCUAUUUAAUGGCUUGCCCACCUUAGAAAUAGCUGAACCAAAGGUAGGGUCCAAUGGCCAGAAAAGCAUCGUACGUCACAUAGUGUCUAAUAUGCCCCUAUCGACCGUUGAAAAUCUAGAUUACUAAUUGCCAUCCAUGCCCAAUCGUACUCUUAACCACAUCAGGCCUCUAAGGUGAGUAGCCUUUAGUUGAUAGAACAAUAUAGGUAAAGGAAGUCGAUAAAAUGAAUCCGUAACCUUAAGAAAAAGAUUAGCUCUAAGGGCUAGGCAUGGGGGUCCCAGUCUGAAACCCAUCAGCUGUUAGUGCAUUGCUCUAGCUACUCUCACAAUAAAAGUGGGUUGUCAUGUGCUAGUCGGCAGAUGGAUUGGGAAUAGCUCCCUCAGGGGCCUUCCCCAAACGAUGAAAAAUUGACUCAAAACUGGUAGGAUAAGGGGAAUCUAACUGUUUAAUUAAAAUAAAAUAUCACGAUAGUCCCUACAGAUGCUCACAUAAUGUGAUUUAUGCCUAGUGCUUUAAAUGUCAAAGUGAAGAAACUUAACCAAGCAUAGGUAAAUGGUAGGGUUGACUAUGACUCUCUUAAGGUAGCCAAAUGCCUCAUCAUCUAAUUAGUGAUGUGCAUGUAUGUAUUAACGAGAUUACCACUAUCCUUGUCUACUAUCUAGCGAAACCACAACCAAGGGAACAAGCUUGGCAAAAUUAGUGAGGAAAGAAGACCUUGUUAAGCUUGACUCUAGUUUAACAUUGUGAAAUGACUUGAGAGGUGUAGGAUAAGUGGGAGCCCUCAAACGAAAUUGAAAUACCACUACUUUUAACAUUAUUUUACUUAGUCCAUGAAUCAGAGGUAGGAAAGACCCUUUCUUUUACACCCAAGGCUAGUCUUGGUUCGUCGAUCAGAGUGGAAGACAUUGUCAGGUGAGGAGUUUAGCUGGAGUGGCACAUGUGUUAAAAGAUAACGUAGAUGUUUUAAAAUGAGCUCAACAUGAAUAGAAAUCUCAUGUGGAACAAAAGGGUAAAAGCUCAUUUGAUUAUGAUUUCUACUAUGAAUACAAACCAUGAAUGCGUGGCCUAUCGAUCCUUUAAACCUUCUAAAUUUGAAUAGAGUUGUCAAAAAAGUUACCACAUGGAUAAUUGGCUUGUGCCAGCCAAAUGUUCAUAGCAACAUUACUUUUUGAGCCUCUGAUGUUGGCUCUUCCUAUCAUUGUAAAAUAGAAUUCACCAAUUAUUAGAUUGUUCACCCACCAAUAGGGAAUGUGAGUUGGGUUCAGACCAUCAUGAGAUGGGUUAGUUUUACCCUACUGAUGGUAGUGUCGUAAUAGUAAUUCAACCUAGUAUGAGAGGAACCAUUGAUUCGUACAAUUGGUCAUCACACUUGGUUGAAAAACUAGUGGCACGAAGCUACCAUGCAUUGGAUUUUGACUGAAUGCCUCUAAGUUAGAAUCUAGGCUAGAAGCGAUGCAUGUGAACACACUCGAUUGUUGACUUGUAGUAGGGGCCCAUGGCCCCCAAGGGCAUGUGUCAUAGGUGCAGCCCCUUGGCAGACAAGCUGCGCAGGCCUCAUUAGAGCUCAAUUCCCACCGAGUGGCUUGUAGAAUCAUUUAUAGAUGACUUAAAUAUGUGAUGGGCUAUUGUAAGUGGCAAACUAGUCCUGCCACUAUGAUCGAUGAGAUUCAAC